rnacentral:rRNA from 1 species
GAUGAACGCUAGCUACAGGCUUAACACAUGCAAGUCGAGGGGCAGCAUGGUCUUAGCUUGCUAAGGCCGAUGGCGACCGGCGCACGGGUGAGUAACACGUAUCCAACCUGCCGUCUACUCUUGGACAGCCUUCUGAAAGGAAGAUUAAUACAAGAUGGCAUCAUGGGUCCGCAUGUUCACAUGAUUAAAGGUAUUCCGGUAGACGAUGGGGAUGCGUUCCAUUAGAUAGUAGGCGGGGUAACGGCCCACCUAGUCUUCGAUGGAUAGGGGUUCUGAGAGGAAGGUCCCCUACAGUGGAACUGAGGCACGGUCGAAAGACCUACGGGAGGCAGCGGUGAGGAAUAGUGGUCAAUGGGAGAGAGCCUGACCCAGCCAAGUAGCGUGAAGGAUGACUGACCUAUGGGUUGUAAACUUCUUUUAUAAAGGAAUAAAGUCGGGUAUGGAUACCCGUUUGCAUGUACUUUAUGAAUAAGGAUCGGCUAACUCCGUG